rnacentral:rRNA from 1 species
GACGAACGCUGGCGGCGUGCCUAAUACAUGCAAGUCGAACGCACUCUCGUUUAGAUUGAAGGAGUUUGCUCCUGAUUGAUAAACAUUUGAGUGAGUGGCGGACGGGUGAGUAACACGUGGGUAACCUGCCCUAAAGUGGGGGAUAACAUUUGGAAACAGAUGCUAAUACCGCAUAAAACCUAACACCGCAUGGUGUAGGGUUGAAAGAUGGUUUCGGCUAUCACUUUAGGAUGGACCCGCUGUGCAUUAGUUAGUUGGUGAGGUAAAGGCUCACCAAGACCACGAUGCAUAGCCGACCUGAGAGGGUAAUCGGCCACACUGGGACUGAGACACGGCCCAGACUCCUACGGGAGGCAGCAGUAGGGAAUCUUCCACAAUGGACGAAAGCCUGAUGGAGCAACGCCGCGUGAGUGAAGAAGGUUUUCGGAUCGUAAAACUCUGUUGUUGGGGAAGAACGUAUCUGAUAGUAACUGAUCAGGUAGUGACGGUAUCCAACCAGAAAGCCACGGCUAACUACGUG